GGUUUACCUGGAGAGACAGAAAGAAGAAUUUGUGUUACUACAUGUGAAGACAUAAAGAGCAUGUAAAGAGCAUGCAGAGAGCAUGUAGAGAGCAUGCAAAAAUCAUGCAAAGAGCAUGCAGAGAGCAUGUAAAGAGCAAGGAUAGCUGUCGUUCCAGUUUGUUCUCUCCAAAAACGAUCGUUCAGGACAGGAGCCACAGAGCCAAGGAUCUUGCCUAUCCAAACAUGAGAUGGAAAACGGUUCACGCGCCAAACCCAGCAGAUGAAGCAUACCGGGACAAAUUGACAUAAUAAAGAGAAUAUAUACAGGAUUCAUAUACAUCACAACCCCUACCACAUAGUUAUCUUGCCCAAAGGGCGCCUUCUUAGACGCCUUAAACCCUUCCUUAUUGUUUGUUUUCCUACAAUCCAAUGUGGUACCCAAAUGCGGAGUCAGCAGAAAUUACUUUGAAAGUUCAGUAACUAAUGCAGUAGCAUUAGUGGUUUAUAUUCAUGGAAACGGAAUCAGUCGGCGCGCAAUGCGCAAACGUGUCGAAACUCAUGCUGGAAACGCAUUGAAACAUCCACGCGAGUGUGUUAACUCAUGCACGCAGACAUGCCUAAUAACCUUAUUUACGUAAAGUUAAUGAAAGUAAAUGUUAUAGCUAGGCUACAUAUAAUGUCUAUGUGGAAACACUCAAACGUGCUUUCACAGAAAAUGCACGCAAAUCUACCGGCUGACAUGUUCUGAUAGACAUUUUGAAAUAGUCUAUAAUAAAACCGAUGUGUACAUUAAAUCCCUGAACUAAAAUAAUCUGCUAUAAUCAAA